AACGCGAAGAACCUUACCAACCCUUGACAUCCCAGGACCGGCCCGGAGACGGGUCUUUCACUUCGGUGACCUGGAGACAGGUGCUGCAUGGCUGUCGUCAGCUCGUGUCGUGAGAUGUUCGGUUAAGUCCGGCAACGAGCGCAACCCACACUCUUAGUUGCCAGCAUUUGGUUGGGCACUCUAAGAGAACUGCCGAUGAUAAGUCGGAGGAAGGUGUGGAUGACGUCAAGUCCUCAUGGCCCUUACGGGUUGGGCUACACACGUGCUACAAUGGUGGUGACAGUGGGUUAAUCCCCAAAAGCCAUCUCAGUUCGGAUUGGGGUCUGCAACUCGACCCCAUGAAGUUGGAAUCGCUAGUAAUCGCGGAACAGCAUGCCGCGGUGAAUACGUUCCCGGGUCUUGUACACACCG
rnacentral:rRNA from 1 species